rnacentral:rRNA from 1 species
UACGUAGGGUGCAAGCGUUGUCCGGAAUUAUUGGGCGUAAAGAGCUCGUAGGCGGUUUGUCGCGUCUGCUGUGAAAUCUGGGGGCUCAACCCCCAGCCUGCAGUGGGUACGGGCAGACUAGAGUGCGGUAGGGGAGAUUGGAAUUCCUGGUGUAGCGGUGGAAUGCGCAGAUAUCAGGAGGAACACCGGUGGCGAGGGCGGGUCUCUGGGCAGUAACUGACGCUGAGGAGCGAAAGCGUGGGGAGCGAACAGG